rnacentral:rRNA from 1 species
AUUGAACGCUGGCGGCAUGCUUUACACAUGCAAGUCGAACGGCAACACGUCUUUCGGCGUGGACGCGUGGCGCGCGGGGGUGUGUUACACCUCGAAGCGUGCCCACGAGUGGGGUAACGAACGGCGAAAGCCGGUUUAAUACCACAUACGCCACGGAGGUGAAAGCGGGGGAGCGAAGGGCCUCGCGCUCUUGGCGGGGCCGAUGUCGGAUUAGCUAGUUGGUGGGGUAAAGGCUUACCAAGGCGACGAUCCGUAGCUGGUCUGAGAGGACGACCAGCCACACUGGGACUGAGACACGGCCCAGACUCCUACGGGAGGCAGCAGUGGGGAAUGUUGGACAAUGGGCGAAAGCCUGAUCCAGCCAUGCCGCGUGCAGGAUGAAGGCCUUCGGGUUGUAAACUGCUUUUGUACGGGAAGAAAACCUUUGGGUUAAUACCUGGGGUGCAUGACGGUACCGUAAGAAUAAGCACCGGCUAACUACGUG